ACGUAGGGUGCGAGCGUUAAUCGGAAUUACUGGGCGUAAAGCGUGCGUAGGCGGUUCUGCAAGUCAGAUGUGAAAUCCCCGGGCUUAACCUGGGAACUGCGUUUGAAACUACGGAGCUAGAGUACGGCAGAGGGGGGUGGAAUUCCACGUGUAGCAGUGAAAUGCGUAGAUAUGUGGAGGAACACCGAUGGCGAAGGCAACCCCCUGGGCCGAUACUGACGCUGAGGCACGAAAGCGUGGGGAGCAAACAGGAUUAGAUACCCUGGUAGUCCACGCCCUAAACUAUGUCAACUAGUUGUCGGGAAAGCAAUUUCUUGGUAACGAAGCUAACGCGUGAAGUUGACCGCCUGGGGAGUACGGUCGCAAGAUUA
rnacentral:rRNA from 1 species